rnacentral:tRNA from 1 species
GCGGCUGUGGUGAAAUGGUAAACACGCUAGGUUCAGGGCCUAGUGCUCGCAAGAGCUUGGUGGUUCGAGUCCACUCAGCCGCA